GAUCAUGGCUCAGGAUGAACGCUAGCGACAGGCUUAACACAUGCAAGUCGAGGGGCAGCAUAAAAGUAGCAAUACUUGGUGGCGACCGGCGCACGGGUGAGUAACGCGUAUGCAACCUACCUAUCAGAGGGGAAUAACCCGGCGAAAGUCGGACUAAUACCGCAUAAAACAGGGGCACCGCAUGGUGAUAUUUGUUAAAGAAAUUCGCUGAUAGAUGGGCAUGCGUUCCAUUAGGUAGUUGGUGAGGUAACGGCUCACCAAGCCGACGAUGGAUAGGGGAACUGAGAGGUUGGUCCCCCACACUGGUACUGAGACACGGACCAGACUCCUACGGGAGGCAGCAGUGAGGAAUAUUGGUCAAUGGGCGGGAGCCUGAACCAGCCAAGUCGCGUGGAAAAGGAAGAAGGAUCUAUGGUUCGUAAACUUCUUUUGCAGGGGAAUAAAGUGCAGGACGUGUCCUGUUUUGUAUGUACCCUGAGAAUAAGGAUCGGCUAACUCCGUGCCAGCCGCAGC
rnacentral:rRNA from 1 species